GACGAACCGUGCUAACGUUGUUCGGAAUCACUGGGCUUAAAGGGCGCGUAGGCGGGCCAGCAAGUCAGGGGUGAAAUCCCACGGCUCAACCGUGGAAGGGCCUUUGAUACUGUCGGCCUCGAGGGAGGUAGGGGCGUGCGGAACUUCCGGUGGAGCGGUGAAAUGCGUAGAUAUCGGAAGGAACAUCGGUGGCGAAAGCGGCGCGCUGGACCUCUUCUGACGCUGAGGCGCGAAAGCCAGGGGAGCAAACGGG
rnacentral:rRNA from 1 species